AUCCUGGAGCGCCCAGGCUUCCGAGGGGCAGACGGCGGGACCCGCUCCGGGCUGAGGUCCUGGCGGGUGAGCAGGAUCUUCGCCGUGCGGCGCGGAGGGUGACAGUGGAGAAGGUGACCAGAAGCCAGAAGGAGCCUAUGUGAAAGAUUUGGUGGCAGUGGUGGGAUCCAAAGGAAACUUCUGACAGCUUUGACGGCAAUGAGAAACACAACCCCCCAGUACAUAGUUGUAUAUUCUUCGUUGUGGGUCCUUCUAGUUGUGGCAUGUGGGACUCUGCCUCAGCGUGGUUUGAUGAGCAGU
rnacentral:lncRNA from 1 species